rnacentral:rRNA from 1 species
GACGAACGCUGGCGGCGUGCUUAACACAUGCCAGUCGAACGGAAAGGCCUCUUUCGGGGGGUACUCGAGUGGCGAACGGGUGAGUAACACGUGAGUAACCUGCCCUUGACUUUGGGAUAACUUCAGUAAACUGGGGCUAAUACCGGAUAGGAGCUCCUGCUGCAUGGUGGGGGUUGGAAAGUUUCGGCGGUUGGGGAUGGACUCGCGGCUUAUCAGCUUGUUGGUGGGGUAGUGGCUUACCAAGGCUUUGACGGGUAGCCGGCCUGAGAGGGUGACCGGCCACACUGGGACUGAGAGACGGCCCAGACUCCUACGGGAGGCAGCAGUGGGGAAUAUUGCACAAUGGGUGGAAGCCUGAUGCAGCAACGCCGUGUGCGGGAUGACGGCCUUAGGGUUGUAAACCGCUUUCGCUCAUGACGAAGCUUUGUGUGACGGUAGUGGGUAAAGAAGCACCGGCUAACUACGUG